rnacentral:misc_RNA from 1 species
AGAAAUCAAUUGAAUUGAAUUCUUUGCAAAAUUCUAUAAUCCAAACAAGAGGAUUAUAAAUUGAAUUCUUGCAAAAUAGAGGCCAUUUUUGGCUUGAUUUUUAUUUCUUUCAAAAUUGAUUCUUUUUUUCACUUGAAAGAAUUGAUGUCUAGAAACCAUGUGAUUUUCCAACAUGAGAAUUGGGCAAAUAAAAUUCAAUUAAAUUUGAUUCAUGAUUUAUUGGGGUUUCCAAGCAUGCUCUUAGGCUCUAUAUAUAUUAGAGCAUGAUAAAUGGUGGCGUGCAAUUUGGAGCCCUUUUUGUGCAUCAAAACCAUUUAUUUACAUAUUGAUUUUUAAUGUCUCUCCACCACAUUAAAUUUGAUUGUGAAGUUACUAUAUGAGUAAUUCUCUAAGGGUGGGUUCAUGUUCAUCAAAUGCAUGGGAAAUUGGUGAAAUAAUGUACUGUGGAGUUAUUAUAUCCCUCCCUUGUUUGAAUAAAUUAUGGUCAUCUGAUUUUAGAGCUAUAGACUGGGAUCAGGGGUUUACUAGGUUUGAUUUUAGAACUGUCAAAUGGUCAAGGAGAAACAGAUUCAAUAUUAUUCUUGUAAUUUUGAGUUAAUAAUGGGUGAGAAAUUUCUGCUAAUAGGUCAUUUAAUUAGGUAAGCCAUAUUUGGCUUUGAUUUUUUGUGAGCUUGAUGAAACCACAUGCUUUCUAUCUGAGAACCAUUUGUUCUUUUGUGCCUUAUUACCGGAUUUCUUGGAAGAUUAUGAGGUAACUGUUCCUU